rnacentral:lncRNA from 1 species
AGCUUGCCUGUGAGAGAGGAGGAGCUAAUCCUUCUAACGAUGAUUUUCCUCGUUCACCACUUGGUCUUGCUGGCCACAGACUUACUUUCUCGCAACGAUCCUUUCUUGCCUCCUUUAUGCCUUUGCAUUCGUUUCCAUUGCUGUUUUUACCUGCUUCAUUAUCUUCUGGUCCUUCGGCGUCGUGGAGAAGAACAUUGACAUAAAAGGGAGAGCAAUUGUAAUUCUCGUAUCCAACAGCUCAAUUGGGAGGACGUUUGCUAGGAACUUGGAUAAAGCAGGUUUUAGGGUGUCUGCUGCACACUGGCCUCCUCAAGAGGAGGGAACAACUGCGAAAGAAGAGUGCUCUUCAAGAAUGGAGGUAGCACAGCUCCACAUGACAGAUGAUGAGUACCAGAAGACAAUGAAAACCUUCAUAGAAAGCCACUUAUCCCUGAAAGGCACGUAUGGGCUGAUGAAGAAGCCAUCAAUCCUGAUAUGGGAAGAAGUGGAGCCAGACACGUGCAGGUUACCCGAGAGAAGAACCCCUCAUAAAUGGAAGAAGGUUUUCAGGGUUCCAGCCCUCUGCAUCACAGCCCUCUUUUGCCCACUGAACUGUGCCCUGACUUUCCUGAAGAAGAGAGUUCUGCAGCCCCGUAUGCUCUUGAAGCCCAAAAACUGAGGAACUGAAGCUUAGCUGACAAGGCUAUAAUUCCAGGCCUGCUUGUUAGCACCACUUUUGUACCAACAAGUUCAGACCUGC